UUGUGGAACAUGGGGAGGUUGGGGCCUGCCUCACUUACUUGGCCAUUUGGGAUUAGAGAAUCAAUGGGAGAUUAAAAUGGUGAUUUGUUGGGUGGGAUUAUAUGGGAUAUUGUGUUGAAAGCCACCAUGUUUUUCACUCGGGACUUCCCCCUCUUCACACUUUACAGACGAUAUUUGGAUAUAUGCUUCUGAAGUUCUGAUAUUCCACACUUAAAGCUAGAGUGGUGGAUAAGGAAGGUUACAAGGCAAGUAAAAGACCAAUUAUUGAUACCCUCUUUUUAGCUGGAGGGAAUCUCUCAUACACUCAAUUUCUUUGGGUAAUGCAGGAGCUAUGGAUUGCAUGUUUUAUAGUCAAAUACCUAAUGGCCCCUUUUGAGGUUAAGCACAAACAAUGGGGCUUUUGAGGUUGAACUUUGGUUAGGAUUCAGUUGUUGAACUGAUCAAUAAAAAGAUAUUAGAAG
rnacentral:lncRNA from 1 species